GUGGGGAAUAUUGGACAAUGGGGGGAACCCUGAUCCAGCCAUGCCGCGUGUGUGAAGAAGGCCUUUUGGUUGUAAAGCACUUUAAGCGAGGAGGAGGCUACCGAGAUUAAUACUCUUGGAUAGUGGACGUUACUCGCAGAAUAAGCACCGGCUAACUCUGUGCCAGCAGCCGCGGUAAUACAGAGGGUGCAAGCGUUAAUCGGAUUUACUGGGCGUAAAGCGCGCGUAGGUGGCCAAUUAAGUCAAAUGUGAAAUCCCCGAGCUUAACUUGGGAAUUGCAUUCGAUACUGGUUGGCUAGAGUAUGGGAGAGGAUGGUAGAAUUCCAGGUGUAGAGGUGAAAUGCGUAGAGAUCUGGAGGAAUACCGAUGGCGAAGGCAGCCAUCUGGCCUAAUACUGACACUGAGGUGCGAAAGCAUGGGGAGCAAACAGGAUUAGAAACCCCAGUAGUCC
rnacentral:rRNA from 1 species